AAACUUUCAACAACGGAUCUCUUGGUUCUCGCAUCGAUGAAGAACGCAGCGAAACGCGAUAGGUAAUGUGAAUUGCAGAAUUCAGUGAAUCAUCGAAUCUUUGAACGCACAUUGCGCUCCCUGGUAUUCCUAGGAGCAUGCCUGUCUGAGCGUCAGU
rnacentral:rRNA from 1 species